UACAAAGAAGCCUCAGCAGACAUGGAAGAUCAGACACGAACAUUCAAAGACAGAUUUAUUUAGAAACUUCUGGAAAUUCAAGGAUCGAUUUGUCAUCGGAUGAACAACGGAGACUAAACAUUAGCCUCGACGAUGUUAAGGUGAGGGGAAACCGAGAGACACAACCACGGACUUCAGCUAGAAGUAAAGAACAAGACAUUCUUUGAUAAUCCAACACCCAAGGCUUCGUACUGAUGAAACAUCCUGUGAUUUGAAGAAGGCACUCACCAAGGCAGGAAAUGUGGAGAAGCCACGGAGCCUUCAGUCCAACAGAGUCGACAGGACGAGGUGAACGACAUCAGCUAAUUGGCAGAAUCCAACCGUGAUAAUCCGUCACCUGAGGAUUUGUUUGGAGGGAAAAAUGUGAACAAAGUUCAAUCCAAAGGAGAAAAAUACCGCACCCCGCCCCUAGGAGGAGCCAGAAUCAAUCACCCUAAGAUGUCCCCAGGAGACGAGUGGGAAAGGGUUCAACAGAGAGAGGGAUUUAUGGGCAUCACAAACGACACAAACUAACCCUUCAACUGACACACGAUGACCACCUGACCAGACCACCACCUGACCACACCACCAGAUGACCAGACCACCAGAUGACCACCACCUGUUAGAGCUGUAAACAGUCCCUGACACUGUUGUCUGUUGAAGCAGUUCCUGACACUGUUGUCUGUUGGAACAGUUCCUGACACUGUUUUCCGUUGAAACAGUUCCUGACACUCUUGUCUGUUGUCUGUUGAAACAGUUUCUGACACUGUUGUCGGUUGAAACAGUUCCUGACACUGUUUUCCGUUGAAACA